ensembl:lncRNA
UGGUCAGCCUUUUCCUGUUGCCCAAGGGUAGCAAUUUCCACUGCAGAGAACAUACUUCUUGCAUGUCCUUUGGUAAUCGUGACAGCCCAGCGGUCUCCCUGGCUGUCCACACAGCAGCAGCCUGCUGUGCUGCGAGGAGAAACGCUGGGCCCUCCUGGUCUGUGCUGGCAGGAAGCCUGCGGCCCAAGCCCUGCUCAGCAGUCUGGGAUUGCACAUCUCACGCAGUGUGUCGGUGCCGGGAAGGCCGCGGGGCAGUGCGGGCAGAGGCACAGGUCACCCCGAGGAAACUCACAAGACGAACGCCAACCCGGUCCACGUAAGAGCCAGACUCAGAGCACUGCAGAGCCCCCUUUCCACACAGUGUCCGGGCUGGGGCAGAGCCCAGGUGCUGACCCCCAACCCCAGGACGACGUCACAAAGGUGAGGCACAUUGCCCGGAACUCCAAGGCUCAGAAGAACCCAGGAGUUGGGAGCUGUGGCCCAGAGGCCAGAGGAGAACCGAGAGAAGCGCCACGCCCACUCUGCAGGCACGGAGGCAGCGAGGACGAGAGGCGCAAGGGCACCGGGUUGCUGAUGAGGAAGCAGAGUGCCGGAUCUGGAGCGCGGGGCUCCACGCCUGAGAUUUCACAGCCAGGACCUUGCCACACAGGGCCCAGGGCGAGCAGCACCCGGGUCACCCACCAACGCGCCAGAGCCUGCCUUUUCAUCAGGAGUCCCACUGAAGAGCGAGAAUUCUACCUUCCUGCAGGUGGUCCUGACACUCAGCGUCGGGGUGUCCAGCCCCCCGGUCCCCAGGCUGGGAACCCUGGCAGUGAAGCCUUGGAGACCCUGCGGACGAUGCUGCACAAACAGAGAACCAUGGCUAGGUGGGGACUCGGCAAAGACAGGUUAGACGCUGCGUCUCUGUUGCUUUGGGGCUCCAGCUCUCCGGUCACAUCUCCGUCCAAACUUGCACCAACGCUCCAGAGGGCUGAGGUCUUGGAAGGAUGCACUUCCAUCAUGCUGCCGUCUCGCUGGGUGGAGGGGGAUGUCCAGUCGCUUUCCUGCGUGCCCUGUCUGAGGGCGAUGACGCUGAGGGCCUUCAGUCUCCAGCCAGUCCUCUGAACGCCCUGCUCUGGUAGGGCUCAUGCCUUUGGAGUCCGCAACAGCAGCAUCCCGGAAGGCCCCGUCACCUGGCACCGUUUUCCUGACAUGCCCGCCCUCCGUUUCCAGCUGGAUCCUGUCACUCCCGCUUUCCUCACCCUACAGCUUUCCUGCCCCCACACUGGGAUGCAUUUCUGUGCCCUUGCAGUCUCCCACACAGCCCCUGACAGCAUGCUCCGCCCCAGAGGCCCCUCCAACGCCUUACGCAGUGGCCAGACCCUGGCCUGCCCCUACCUGGCUGCCUGACUGCAGGUCUAUUUCUCCUAGAAAGAGCAUGUGCCGUCGGAUAGAAGACCAACCUCUCUCUCUCUCUCUGCCUCUCCUCCCUCUGUGUAACCAUGACUUUCAAAUAAAUAAAUAAAUCUUAAAAAAAAGAAAGAGCGU